GCCUGGGUGGCUCAGUCGGUUAAGCAUCUGACUCUUGAUUUCAGUUCAGGUCACGAUCUCAGAAUUCAUGAGAUCGAACCCCACCUCAGGCU
rnacentral:tRNA from 1 species